GUGCACUAUCCAUAAGCGGAGGAAAAGAAACCAACAGGGAUUGCCUCAGUAAYGGCGAGUGAAGCGGCAAAAGCUCAAAUUUGAAAUCUGGCUCUUUCAGGGUCCGAGUUGUAAUUUGUAGAAGAUGCUUUGGGUGYGGCUCUGGUUUAAGUUCUUUGGAAUAUUACAUCAUAGAGGGUGAGAAUCCCGUAUGUGACCAGUCGCCGCGCCCGUGUAAAGCUCUUUCAMCGAGUCGAGUUGUUUGGGAAUGCAGCUCAAAAUGGGAGGUAUAUUUCUUCUAAAGCUAAAUAUUGGCCAGAGACCGAUAGCGCACAAGUAGAGUGAUCGAAAGAUGAAAAGCACUUUGGAAAGAGAGUUAAACAGUACGUGAAAUUGUUGAAAGGGAAGCGCUUGCAACCAGACUUGCACGCAGUUGAUCAUCCGGUGUUCUCACCGGGGCACUCUGCUGCGUUCAGGCCAGCAUCGUUUUUGGUGGUUGGAUAAAGGCCUUGGGAAUGUAGCUUCUUUCGGGGAGUGUUAUAGCCCUCGGUGCAAUGCAGCCUACCGGGAACGAGGACCGCGCUUCGGCUAGGAUGCUGGCGWARUGGUUGUAAGCGGCCCGUCUUGAAACACGGACAGAAGGAGUCA
rnacentral:rRNA from 1 species